rnacentral:rRNA from 1 species
GAAUACAUAGCAUAUCAGAAGGCACACCCGGAGAACUGAAACAUCUUAGUACCCGGAGGAAGAGAAAGAAAAUUCGAUUCCCUUAGUAGCGGCGAGCGAAACGGGAAGAGCCCAAACCAACAAGCUUGCUUGUUGGGGUUGUAGGACACUCUAUACGGAGUUACAAAGGACGACAUUAGACGAAUCAUCUGGAAAGAUGAAU